rnacentral:ribozyme from 1 species
UGCCCAACAACUCCUAUCCCUACCUCCUCGUGGUACUGGCCGGGAUACGAGUAACCUUAGGGAAGAUCGGGUAACCAACCCCGGUGGGAGCUUUGGUCGUAUGCUGACUGAGAAGG